AUGAAAGACCUUGGUGUGGCUGAUGUUAUCUUGAACAUCAAGCUACUGAGAGAUAAUGAGGGUGGAAUUACACUUCUGCAAUCCCACUAUGUUGAUAAGGUGUUGAGUCGUUUUGGAUAUUCGGACUGCACGCCAUCUCAAACACCAUAUGGUCCUAGCUUAUUGAUUCGAAAGUCCAAAGGCAUGGCUAAAGAUCAAUUGAGAUACUCUCAAAUCAUUGGUUCACUGAUGUACCUAGCGAGCGCAACGAGGCCUGACAUCGCGUUUGCUGUGAGCAAACUGAGCCGGUUUGUUUCCAAACCGGGUGAUGUACAUUGGCAUGCUGUUGAGAGAGUUAUGCGCUAUCUGAAAGGUACUAUGAACUAUGGACUUCACUAUACCGGAUACCCGUCGGUACUUGAAGGGUAUAGUGAUGCGAAUUGGAUCUCUGAUGCUGAUGAGAUGAAGGCCACAACUGGGUAUAUGUUUACUCUUGGAGGUGGCGCUGUUUCCUGGAAGUCUUGCAAGCAAACAAUCUUAACGAGAUCGACAAUGGAAGAAGAAUUAACAGCAUUAGACACAUCUGGUGUUGAAGCGAGAUGGCUUCGAGAUCUUUUGAUGGACUUGCCAUUGGUUGAUAAACCGGUUCCGGCUAUCCUUAUGAACUGUGACAAUCAGACUGUCAUCACCAAGGUGAAGAGUUCAAAGGACAACAUGAAGUCCACCAAACACAUAAGAAUGAGAUUAAAAGUUGUCAGAAAAUUAAGAAACUCCGGAGUGAUAGCGUUGGACUAUGCCCAUACGGCUAAGAAUCUGGCAGAUCCCUUUACGAAAGGGCUAUCACGUGUUGUGAUAGAUAAUGCAUCGAGGGAAAUGGGUAUGAGACCCACAUGA
rnacentral:rRNA from 1 species